rnacentral:rRNA from 1 species
GUGGAUUAGAUACCCUGGUAGUCCACGCUGUAAACGUUGGGCGCUAGGUGUGGGGGGCCUCUCCGGUUCCCUGUGCCGCAGCUAACGCAUUAAGCGCCCCGCCUGGGGAGUACGGCCGCAAGGCUAAAACUCAAAGGAAUUGACGGGGGCCCGCACAAGCGGCGGAGCAUGCGGAUUAAUUCGAUGCAACGCGAAGAACCUUACCUGGGUUUGACAUGGCCGCAAAACCGGCAGAGAUGUCGGGUCCUUCGGGGGCGGUCACAGGUGGUGCACGGCUGUCGACUGCU